rnacentral:rRNA from 1 species
CAGUAGCCACGGUAAUACGAAGGGGGCUAGCGUUGCUCGGAAUUACUGGGCGUAAAGGGAGCGUAGGCGGAUCGUUAAGUUGGGGGUGAAAGCCCGGGGCUCAACCUCGGAACUGCCUUCAAUACUGGCGAUCUUGAGUAUGAGAGAGGUGUGUGGAACUCCGAGUGUAGAGGUGAAAUUCGUAGAUAUUCGGAAGAACACCAGUGGCGAAGGCGACACACUGGCUCAUUACUGACGCUGAGGCUCGAAAGCGUGGGGAGCAAACAGGAUUAGAUACCCCAGUAGUCCCUGUCUCUUAUAC